CUACUGGUGGUUCACUGGUAGAAUUCUCUCCUUCCAUGUGGGAGACCUAGGUUUGAUUCCUGGCCAGUGCA
rnacentral:tRNA from 1 species